CUAAUUUACAGCUAAACCAGUCUCGUCGUAUUGUCGAAAAUAGGUAAUAACGGAAAAUUUAAUUUGGCAAUGGCAUGCAGUCUAUUUAUGAAUGACAGCGUUAGAAGGACCUAUUUUUAACUAGUAAAAGUCAAAUUUGGUUUUUGGCGUAGGUAAGUCAUAAGCAGAUAAUGCAAUGGAAAAUCUAGCCUUGACGUCAAAGCGUCCAACUAUUGCAACUGUUAACGUCACACCAGCUAUGUCAAACAAACUUGACAAGUUCCCGUAAUUAUCGGCUUUAGGAACUGUCGCCAAGACGACCAAAUUAUUAAGAGCACACCUAAGUUCAACGACAAUAAAAGUGAUAGUAGAAGGCGACGUUCUGUCUAUCCAGCAACAGUAGAAAAUGAUGUCAACGCCGAACGCUAAAAACCAAUUUGGAGAUUGCUUGUGCUCACUGCAUUAGCAUUAGACUAUCACGCAAACAUAUUGUGCCUUUGCUGAGAUUUUAAUAAAAAUGUAGUGUGUGUGAUCUGACCAUGAUUGUUGUAAUUUGGCUACAUGGGCUGAGCGAACAAAAGCUAGAUUAAAUUUACAUCAAUAGAAGAAAGAAAUGGCUUUAACCCCCCUUCUGUUCGCAGUUUGUGAGAUAAACAAUGAAACUGCACAGUAUGGACACAGAUUACUUAAACGUCCUUGAAUCCGUGAUUAUGUCGAUGAUGAAUACGUCAUAUUUUUACAUUUGUGUUAAAGUCCAGCUUUAAAUUUGCAUUAAUUAUUGUAGUUGUUAGUAAUAACAGGAAGUGGAAGGUUCGCCUUUGUACCUUGUAACAUAAAUAUAGGUGCUAGAUUACCAUAUAUAUGUUAAUGUAGGUAAUGAAACAGUUGACAGUUCAUUGUAAUUGGAAAAAUCCAUCUGAUUCUUGUAAAUUUAUUCUGGUGGGUGUUUACUUAUAAAUUAUAAUUACAUAUAAUUUUUGUCGUGAUGUGAGUAGGUAUGGAUAAUUGUAUAACUAGAGAACUAUCAGAUAUUACGUUUGCUGAAAUUUGUUGUUUCAUUAUCUAUUAUCACGCCAGUUAUAUAAAAUCACGAUAGUUGCACUAGCUUUAAAUCAAUAACCCUAUCUUCCGCCCCUAACACAAUAACCAGCUCUACAAAGUAGGUAAACAUGAGCAAAAAAA